AAAAUAACAUGGGUUGAUUGGAACCAACAACAAAUUCCUGUAAGAUUUUAUGUACUUGAUUCAACUGAUCGAGUUAGAAGAAAUGGUUCCCAAUUUAUUCAUGAUUGUCAGGUAGAGUUUACGGUUCCUCCAAAUAAUGGAAGAAAGAACUACCCUCCUCAUAUUGAGAAAGCAAACAUCCCAAUGGAAAAAGGUGGUUAUCUCAUAUACGGCACAGCUCAUAUGCAUGUUGGUGCAAUUAACGCAACUUUAUAUGGACAAGAUGGAAGGACUUUGUAUACCUCAAAACCAACAUAUGGAAAAGGAAAGGAACCGGGAAAUGAGAAAGGCUAUGUUGUCGAGAUGUCGGGAAGUUAUCCAGAGUUAGGUUCAAUCAAGAUUAAAGAUGGUGAAAUUGUG